GGCGGAUGCCUUGGCACUAGGAGCCGAUGAAGGACGUGAUAAGCUGCGAUAAGCUUCGGGGAGUUGCACGUAAACUUUGAUCCGAAGAUUUCCGAAUGAGGAAACUCACUUAGAGUAAUGUCUAAGUAUCAUUAAGUGAAUACAUAGCUUAAUGAGGGGAACUCAGGGAACUGAAACAUCUAAGUACCUGAAGGAAGAGAAAGAAAUUCGAUUCCGUAAGUAGCGGCGAGCGAACGCGGAUUAGCCCAAACCAAUAAAGUUUUCUUUAUUGGGGUUGCGGACAUAUCAUAACGAAGAGGUAUCGUAAUUGAAGAGGUUUGGAAAGACCCACCACAGAAGGUAAUAGUCCUGUAUGUUAAACGAGAAGACUUCAGAUAUGAUCCAGAGUACCACGGGACACGUGAAACCCUGUGGGAAGCAGGAGGGACCACCCUCCAAGGCUAAAUACUACCUAGUGACCGAUAGCGUAUAGUACCGUGAGGGAAAGGUGAAAAGAACCCCGGGAGGGGAGUGAAAUAGAACCUGAAACCCUGCACUUACAAGCUGUGGAAGCACAUUUCUUGUGUGACCGCGUACUUUUUGUAGAACGGGCCAACGAGUUACGUUAAGUAGCAAGGUUAAGCACUUAAGGUGCGGAGCCGUAGCGAAAGCGAGUUUUAACUGAGCGUUCAGUUACUUGACGUAGACCCGAAACCGGGCGACCUACCCAUGAGCAGGAUGAAGCGAAAGUAAAAUUUCGUGGAGGUCCGAACCCACGAGCGUUGAAAAGCUCGGGGAUGACUUGUGGGUAGCGGUGAAAUUCCAAUCGAGCCCGGAGAUAGCUGGUUCUCCCCGAAAUAGCUUUAGGGCUAGCCUCAAGGUGAGAGAUACGGAGGUAGAGCACUGAAUGUCCUAGGGGGUAUUGCACCUACCGAAGACUAUCAAACUCCGAAUGCCGUCAUCUUAUACUUGGGAGUCAGACUGUGGGUGAUAAGAUUCAUAGUCGAAAGGGCAACAGCCCAGAUCGUCAGCUAAGGUCCCUAAAUGUAAGUUAAGUGGUAAAGGAUGUGGGAUUGCACAGACAACCAGGAUGUUGGCUUAGAAGCAGCCACUCAUUCAAAGAGUGCGUAAUAGCUCACUGGUCGAGUGAUCCUGCGCCGAAGAUUUCCGGGGCUAAAACUUACUACCGAAGCUACGGCAUCAGUAAUGAUGGGUAGGGGAGCUUCCCAUACGGGUUGAAGCAUGACCGUAAGGACAUGUGGACAGUAUGGGAGUGAGAAUGUUGGCAUGAGUAGCGAGAUGUGGGUGAGAAUCCCACAGGCCGUAAACCCAAGGUUUCCAGGGGAAGGUUCGUCCGCCCUGGGUUAGUCGGGACCUAAGCUGAGGCCGAAAGGCGUAGGUGAUGGACAACAGGUUGAUAUUCCUGUACUACCGAUAACCGUUUGAGAGAAGGGAUGACACAGUAGGAUAAGCUAAGCACACUGUUGGUUAUGUGUGCCCAAGCAUUGAGGCAGUCAAAGUAGGCAAAUCCGCUUUGAUAAUGCUGGGAUGUGAUGGGGAGCGAAAUUUAGUAGCGAAGUAGCUGAUUUCACACUGUCAAGAAAAGUCUCUAUCGAGGUUAAAGGUACCCGUACCGCAAACCGACACAGGUGGGUGAGGAGAGUAUCCUAAGGCCAGCGAGAGAACUGUUGUUAAGGAACUCGGCAAAAUGACCCCGUAACUUAGGGAUAAGGGGUGCCACCAUCAGGUGGCCGCAGAGAAUAGGCCCAAGCGACUGUUUACCAAAAACAUAGGUUUCUGCUAAGUCGCAAGACGAUGUAUAGGAGCUGACGCCUGCCCGGUGCUGGAAGGUUAAGGGGAUCUGUUAGAGCAAUCGAAGCAGUGAACUUAAGCCCCAGUAAACGGCGGCCGUAACAAUAACGGUCCUAAGGUAGCGAAAUUCCUUGUCGGGUAAGUUCCGACCCGCACGAAAGGCGUAACGAUUUGGGCACUGUCUCAACAACAGACUCGGUGAAAUUGUAAUUCCGGUGAAGAUGCCGGAUACCUGCGACAGGACGGAAAGACCCCAUGGAGCUUUACUGUAGCUUGACAUUGGGUCUUGGUACUACAUGUACAGGAUAGGUGGGAGGCUUUGAAACCAGGACGCCAGUUUUGGCGGAGCCAUCCUUGGGAUACCACCCUUGUAGUACUGGGACUCUAACCAUAGGCCAUGAAUCUGGUCUUGGGACACUGUCAGGUGGGCAGUUUGACUGGGGCGGUCGCCUCCCAAAAGGUAACGGAGGCGCUCAAAGGUUCUCUCAGUACGGUCGGAAAUCGUACGUAGAGUGUAAAGGCAAAAGAGAGCUUGAUUGCAAGACAUACAGGUCGAGCAAGGAUGAAAAUCGGACUUAGUGAUCCGGUGGUUCUGCGUGGAAGGGCCAUCGCUCAACGGAUAAAAGCUACCCUGGGGAUAACAGGCUUAUCUCCCCCAAGAGUCCACAUCGACGGGGAGGUUUGGCACCUCGAUGUCGGCUCAUCACAUCCUGGGGCUGUAGUAGGUCCCAAGGGUUGGGCUGUUCGCCCAUUAAAGUGGUACGCGAGCUGGGUUCAGAACGUCGUGAGACAGUUCGGUCCCUAUCCGUCGCAGGCGUAGGAAAUUUGAGAAGACCUGUCCUUAGUACGAGAGGACCGGGAUGGACGUACCUCUGGUGUACCAGUUGUCCUGCCAAGGGCAUGGCUGGGUAGCUAUGUACGGAAUGGAUAAGCGCUGAAAGCAUCUAAGCGCGAAGCCAACUUCAAGAUAAGAUUUCCCACCGCAAGGGUAAGACCCCAGAAAGACUAUCUGGUUGAUAGGUCGAAGGUGUAAGUGCAGCAAUGUAUUUAGCUUAUCGAUACUAAUAGGUCGAGGACUUGACCAAU
rnacentral:rRNA from 1 species